UCAGAUGGCGGAGAGGGAGCGUCUGUAGCUGAGACAGAGGUGGAGCCCCGAGACACACCCCCAUCACAGCCUCGGAGCUGCCUCCCUCCGCUCCCUCCCGGUGCUGGGGUUGGGGUGGGCGGAGAGGCUGAGUCAGGGAGGGGAGAGCCCCUCCGUGGGCAUCCGGCCCCCACCCCCGUGUCUCCGUCUGUCCUCCCUCCAGGCUCCUCGGGCUGCCGCAACCCCCCCCCAUGUCUGACACCUCUGUGCGUCCUGCCAAAGCUGAAACUGCCUCCCUGUCCCUUCUCCCCGCUGCUGCUGCUUCCUCCACCUCCCCCCCACCCCCUGUCCCUUUUAUUCAGCCGCUGCAGCUGUCGCGUCUCCCCAUGGCUUUUCAUCUCCCCUCUCAGCCCCUUCUCGCCUCUGCCUCCUCUCUCCCUCAACCCCUUCUCUUCUGGGCCUCAGCUUCCCUCACUGUCUCCGCUUCCCAUCCUUUCUUUCGGAGUCCCCCCCCCUCCUCUCUUCACCCUCAUUUUUUCCUACCCCUCUCCGCUGUCUUGGCCCACCCGCCGCCGCCUCCUGUCUCGGCUGGUCUCUCUCCCAGGCCCAGCAGGGAGGUCCAGGUCAGGGGUUCACUGGUGGUCCCUGGGAGCCCAGAAUGAGGGGUCACCACCUCGCCCCCACCCAGAAAGGGGGUGGGAAGGGGCAGUGAGGCUGUGGCCUGUCUGGCCAGAAGGAAGUGACUGUGCUGUGGCCUGGUCACCCCCGCCCCCAGGACCUGCCGGUCUGCUGCCGCCCCCAGGCUGGGGCCGAGUAAACACAGCCUCCGGCAGCCUGAGAUAUUUAUACCGAGGUCCGGGCACAGGUCCAGUGCCCACCACAGCCCGUGCCCUGCCCUGUCCGCCACGGCCAGCCCCGAGCCAACGUGGCACCAGCCGGCAAGGGGACGCCGCAGACACAGCCUCCACUCAGCACGGAGGCUGCCCGGCGCAUCGCUCAGGAUGCCAGCGGCUUCACUGGAGAGACAGGAUGCCCCCCUUCCCUGGAAACACCAGCGCAGAUGCAGCCCCGCACGUGCAGCUGCUCGUGAACGUGAACACACUCACCCCAUCGAAAAUUCAAAGUGAGAGAGCAAAAUAG
rnacentral:lncRNA from 1 species